CACUCUAGCGAGACUGCCGGUAAUAAACCGGGAGGAAGUGGGGAUGACGUCAAGUCCUCAUGGCCCUUAUAUCCAGGGCUACACACGUGCUACAAUGGUAUGUACAAAGAGGAGCAAGCCUGCGAGGGUGAGCGAAUCUCAUAAAGCAUAUCUCAGUUCGGAUUGGAGUCUGCAACUCGACUCUAUGAAGUUGGAAUCGCUAGUAAUCGCGGAUCAGCAUGCCGCGGUGAAUACGUUCCCGGGCCUU
rnacentral:rRNA from 1 species